ACUCCUACGGGGCAGGCAGUGGGGAAGUAUUGCACAAUGGAGGAAAGAUCUGAUGCAGCAACGCCGCGUGGAGGAUGACACUUUUCGGAGCGUAAACUCCUUUUAUAUAGGAAGAUAAUGACGGUACUAUAUGAAUAAGCACCGGCUAACUCCGUGCCAGCAGCCGCGGUAAUACGGAGGGUGCAAGCGUUACUCGGAAUCACUGGGCGUAAAGAGCGUGUAGGCGGGUUAUUAAGUCAGAAGUGAAAUCCUAUGGCUCAACCAUAGAACUGCUUUUGAAACUGGUAACCUAGAGUAUGGGGAGAGGNGAUGGAAUUUCUGGUGUAGGGGUAAAAUCCGUANAGAUCAGAAGGAAUACCGAUUGCGAGGCGAUCUACUGGAACAUUACUGACGCUGAGACCGCGAAAGCGUGGGGGAGCAAACAGGA
rnacentral:rRNA from 1 species